rnacentral:rRNA from 1 species
UACGUAGGUGGCAAGCGUUGUCCGGAAUUAUUGGGCGUAAAGCGCGCGCAGGCGGCUUCUUAAGUCUGAUGUGAAAUCUCGGGGCUCAACCCCGAGCGGCCAUUGGAAACUGGGAGCUUGAGUACAGAAGAGGAGAGUGGAAUUCCACGUGUAGCGGUGAAAUGCGUAGAUAUGUGGAGGAACACCAGUGGCGAAGGUGACUCUCUGGUCUGUAACUGACGCUGAGGCGCGAAAGCGUGGGGAGCAAACAGG